GUACCAAAAACCGACGGCCGGUUCUGCCGGUCUCACUCUUGGUGACUCUGAAUAAAGUAGCGGAUCGCACGGCCUUGCGCCGGCGACGGACCAUUCAAGUGUCUGCCCUAUCAGCUUUCGAUGGUAAGUGACCCGCUUACCAUGGCUUUCACGGGUAACGGGGAAUCAGGGUUCGAUUCCGGAGAGGGAGCAUGAGAAACGGCUACCACUUCCAAGGAAGGCAGCAGGCGCGCAAAUUACCCAGUCCCGACACGGGGAGGUAGUGACGAAAAAUAACAAUGCCGCCCUCUGCGAGGGAGGUAAUUGGAAUGAGCACAAUUUACAAACCUUAGCGAGGAUCUAUUGGAGGGCAAGUCUGGUGCAGCAGCCGCGGUAAUUCCAGCUCCAAUAGCGUAUAUUAAAGUUGUUGCAGUUAAAAAGCUCGUAGUUGGAUCUCAGGAGCGAGAGGCGCGGCUGGGCGCGGCCUUCGCGCAAGCGGGGUCGUCGUUCCGGCCAGCCUGAAUCGAUCCCUCCGCAGGCUCUCCGGUCGUGCUAUUAGCUUAGGGCGGCCGGCAGGUCUGCCGCUUACUUUUAAGG
rnacentral:rRNA from 1 species